GACGAACGCUGGCGGCGUGCUUAACACAUGCAAGUCGAACGGAAAGGCCUGCUUUCCCUUGUGGAUUGCGGGUACUCGAGUGGCGAACGGGUGAGUAACACGUGAGUGAUCUGCCCCCAACUUGGGUAUAAGCCUGGGAAACUGGGUCUAAUUCCCGAUAGGACUGCAGGGUGGUGCCUGUGGUGGAAAACGAUUUUCUAGUGGUUGGGGAUGAGCUCGCGGCCUAUCAGCUUGUUGGUGGGGUAAUGGCCUACCAAGGCGGCGACGGGUAGCCGGCCUGAGAGGGUGGGCGGCCACAUUGGGACUGAGAUACGGCCAAGACUCCUACGGGAGGCAGCAGUGGGGAAUAUUGCACAAUGGGCGGAAGCCUGAUGCAGCGACGCCGCGUGGGGGAUGACGGCCUUCGGGUUGUAAACUCCUUUCGACCGCGAGGAAGCCACCUGGUUGGAAGGGUGGUGACGGUAGUGGUAGAAGAAGCACCGGCUAACUACGUG
rnacentral:rRNA from 1 species